CCGAGGAAACAUGAGUUUAUCGUUCAAAAGAGGUCUCUGAAAUUUUAGAGGGUUGUGGUAUAUGAAUCAUUGCUGGAUGAGGAAAGGAGUGGGGGAGGAUCUGCAGUUUCAUGCAGCAUUGUACGAUGGAUUUAUAUGGCUGCCUGACUAGGAUGCUGGUGCCUGCAUACGAGUUGAUGUUC